CAGCAGCCGCGGUAAUACGAAGGUCCCAGGCGUUGUUCGGAAUCACUGGGCGUAAAGGGUGCGUAGGCGGUUUGGUAAGUCAGAUGUGAAAUCCCGGGGCUCAACCCCGGAACUGCAUCCGAUACUGCCAGACUAGAGGACUGGAGAGGUGACUGGAAUUCUCGGUGUAGCAGUGAAAUGCGUGGAUAUCGAGAGGAACACUCGUGGCGUAAGCGAGUCACUGGACAGUAUCUGACGCUGAGGCACGAAGGCCAAGGUAGCGAAAGGGAUUAGAUACCCCUGUAGUCCUGGCAGUAAACGGUGUGCGCUUGGUGUGAG
rnacentral:rRNA from 1 species